rnacentral:misc_RNA from 1 species
AACCAUAGAAACCUGCGGAGUACCUGCGGAGGGAUCAUUACACAAUACAAUAUGAAGGCUGUCCGCAGCUGGAGUAUUUUAUUACCCUUGUCUUUUGCGCACUUGUUGUUUCCUGGGCGGGUUCGCUCGCCACCAGGACCACCAAAUAAACCUUUUCUAUGCAGUUGCAAUCAGCGUCAGUACAAACAAUGUAAAUCAUUUACAACUUUUAACAAUGGAUCUCAGAUCGGAAGAGCACAC